rnacentral:lncRNA from 1 species
AUCAAGAAUUUCUUGUUACUACCAAUAUUUCCAUGUACAACACUUUAUGGUAUGCACAUUUACCAAUCCUGCAUACUCUCGUGUUCUGUCUGGCGGGCAUGCUUCCAAACAAAAACAAAAACAAAAUUGGAGCCCUUCCCUUCUCUCCUAUGUGUUUGCGGACAUUCUGCAUCUGGGCAGGAUGCCCAAAGGAGGCCACACAGGAUGCUGGGUGGGGAGAGAGAGAGAUGAAAAAAUAUCCUGGGCAAGAAGUCACGUGAACUGCUGUCGGCCUCGUGCCAAAGAGGGCACUUGAAACACUGGUGAUACGAGGAGAUACUCAUAGGCUCCUUGCCAAGUAGCUUCCUCAUAGAUACUGAUAAUGGUGUGGGGCCGGGCUGUGGCGCAGCUGUUGAGCAGCUGCCUUAAAUCACUCUGACCAUGAGGUCAUGAGUUCGAGGCCAGCCCGUGGCAGGGUGAGCACCCGUCAAUUAAAAAUAAAAAAUAGCCCCUGCUCGUUGCUGACCUAGCAACCCGAAAGAUAGUUGCAUCUAUCAAGUAGGAGAUAAGGUACCACUAAAGUGGGGAGGCAAGAUUAACUAAUUUACGACCUGGAAUGAGGAAGUGCCGUCAGUGUGGAUGAUGAAGCAGCUGCUCCCCCCUGUGGCCAGAAUCGAACAUCCCCUCAGAAGAACGUUAACUUGCCUCUGCGUGUGUCUCUCAGUCUCUGUUUGAUGUGUUUAUGGGCAUUGAAUGUUUGCCCUAUGUGUGUUAUAAUGUGAUCCGCCCUGAGUCCCCUUCGGGGUGAGAAGGGCGGAAUAUAAAUACUGUAAAUAAAUAAAUAAAUAAAUAAAUAUCCCAGAGAGUGAUUUCUCCCAACAGUGGCCUUCCCACCAGGUUUUGUUUGUCCCUGGAGGCUGUGUUACAAUUUCCAUUUCUAUUCAUCCAAUAUAAACAUCUAGAAGAUGCAGGGCCUGUUUAGUUUUGGCCCUAAAGCUUUAGAAAGACCCCAAAGAAAUGUUCUUUUCUACUUUUCUUCU